CUGAUCUUUUCAUCGUGUGUGACUGUAGAGGCACUAUCUCUUCACCAGUGCCUAGCCAUAGUGCUGCUAGAGCUCGUCAGCGCACUCUGCUCCCCUGGCGCUGCUCUAGGUUCAGUCGGCGUCUUCCUCACGUUGCUGGUCGGCAGAGCUCGCCUGGCUUCAACCUCCGCCCUGCCCUGCUUGACCCCACUCGCCCAUCCCUGUUCCCGACGCCCGAGCUCACCUCAGCUCCGUUGUGCCCCUGUGUUCAGCCUCCUUCCUCCAUCAGCGGACGUGCUCGGUCUCAGCCGCGCCCCUGCACCCACCCUUGCCGGUGACGGCUGCUGCGAGCGCCCCUUCAUUCUCCCCAGCCUCGCUGUGGCCAGCAACUUCAAAUCCAUGGGUGAGCCAGCCUCUUCACCUUGCCGCGCGCUGGGAGCCUCUCUCUGCUCGACCCGGUGUGGUGCUCUGGCCGUGCGUCCACUCCACUACGACGUCGAGCCUCCCUGCUGCCCGCAACUAUCACAUUAGCCAUCGUGGCGUCAUUAUUUCCUGCUGCGCCGCGACAUCGUCAAGCUCCGGUGCUUAGCGUCGAAGUCGCUGCGCCCUUGUCGCUCUGGCUUCCUUUGUCUUCACGUGGUGUGUGGCGGUCGUGUCCAAAUCCAUGGCAUCAAUGUCUGCAUCCCUAGCAUCGUCGUCAUUUCAGCAGCUUGUUGCACCUUGCGUUCACGCCGGAAGAUGAAAGGAAAGCGCCAGUGCAACGCUCGUCAAGUAUAAAUGCGUCGUCGAUUUCGUGGUUUCAAAUUGGAUUUAGCUUUGGUACGCUAGCUGAGAAUCGUACGAAGCAAAGGACAUGGACCAAAGCAGACCACAAGACGAUGUCGGCCGGUGAAUUGGAAAAAAUGGACAGACUGAACGAGUGCCAAGACAAAGGAUGAUCGUCAAGUGAUCGUCAUCUAACAAACACUAACCUAGUGUUAUUCUAGACAAGCCCCGGUGCAUUCACCUCUUUCCUUAUUGUUUACAAUAUUUUAUCACCUUGAAUGAUGCAUUAGGUGAUAGGAGUUGUGUGAUCAAACAGUUGAUGCAUUUCCUUCCUUAAUUAAACAACCCUAAUAACUGUUUUAUGAAAAUUUAGUGAUGCUUAGCCCUGCUUAUUAAUUUAGGAUUGUUUUUAAAAGAUGAUGUGUAACACGGGAUAUGAGAGUUUGUGAAAUAAAAGGGCUUGUGAUGAUGAA